rnacentral:rRNA from 1 species
GCUGCAUGGCUGUCGUCAGCUCGUGUCGUGAGAUGUUGGUUAAGUCCCGCAACGAGCGCAACCCCUGCUGCCACGUUGCCAACGGGUAGAGCCGGGCACUCUGGCGGGACUGCCAUCGACAAGAUGGAGGAAGGUGGGAUGACGUCAAGUCAUCAUGGCCCUUAUGUCCAGGGCGACACACGUGCUACAAUGGCCGGCACAGCGGGAAGCGAGGCAGUGAUGCCGAGCGGAUCCCUUAAAGCCGGUCUCAGUUCGGAUUGAAGUCUGCAACUCGACUUCAUGAAGCUGGAAUCGCUAGUAAUCGCAGAUCAGCCAAGCUGCGGUGAAUACGUUCCCGGGCCUU